rnacentral:rRNA from 1 species
UACGAGGGGGCAAGCGUUGUUCGGAAUUACUGGGCGUAAAGGGCUCGUAGGCGGCCAACUAAGUCAGACGUGAAAUCCCUCAGCUUAACUGGGGAACUGCGUCUGAUACUGGAUGGCUUGGAUUCGGGAGAGGAAUGCGGAAUUCCAGGUGUAGCGGUGAAAUGCGUAGAUAUCUGGAGGAACACCGGUGGCGAAGGCGGCAUUCUGGACCGAUAUUGACGCUGAGGAGCGAAAGCCAGGGGAGCAAAGCGGG